rnacentral:rRNA from 1 species
GACGAACGCUGGCGGCGUGCUUAACACAUGCAAGUCGAACGGUGAAGCGCCUUCCUUUUUGGUGGGUGUGGAUGAGUGGCGAACGGGUGAGUAACACGUGAGUAACCUGCCCCCUUCUUCUGGAUAACCGCAUGAAAGUGUGGCUAAUACGUGAUAUUCUGGGUCUGUCGCAUGAUGGGUCUGGGAAAGAUGUUGUUUCGGUGGGGGAUGGGCUCGCGGCCUAUCAGCUGGUUGGUGGGGUGAUGGCCUACCAAGGCGGUGACGGGUAGCCGGCGUGAGGGGGUGGACGGCCACAAUGGGAGUGAGGCACGGCCGAGACUACUACGGGAGGCAGCAGUGGGGAAUAUUGUACAAUGGGCGCAAGCAUGAUGCAGCGGCGCCGCGGGAGGGAUGGAGGCCUUCGGGUUGUGAUCCUCUUUCGCCAGUGAAGCAGGCCUGCCUCGUUUGUGGGUGUGUUGACGGUAGCGGGAGAAGAAGCGCCGGCUAACUACGUG